CCGAGAGAGAGAGAGGGGAAGAACAAGAGAGAAAUUUCUUCAUUUCAUCUUCAAAUCCAACAACUUAGUGAGAAAAUAAACAAAGUAAACCGAUUAAACUUGUUCUUGAGUGACUAGGUGGUGAUUUGUGGUGUGAUUUUUGAAAGAGAAAGCUUGGGCUACUUGUAGUGACUUCUAUUCAAGGUAAGAGAGCUUAUCUCUCUAAGUUUUACUUUCAAUUUUGUUAAAUUAAGCUUGGCAACUUGCUCUUGUGGUGAGAUCAUGGAUGAUGAGCAUGUUUUAGAAGUUUUCCCCAAUUUAUUUGAUGAACUAGGGCUUGUGGAAAUUCUGCCCAAAUUGUUGUAAGAUGCUUAUAUGUUGCAAUUGAAGUUUUAUAAGGUGUUGUGGUAGUGAUUAGACCAAGAAAUUAAGGAAAGUUGCACUAGAAACUCAAAAUUCCAAAAUCUGGAAAAUUUUCCCAACAUUCUGUCCGAAUUUGUAUCUGUAUGUUAGAGGCUGAUUUGGCCUUAGCUCAAAGAAUAAAAGUUGUAUAGAAUGGAAUUUUAUAGGUGCCUACAAAAUUUCAGCUCAAUCGGAGCAACGUAGGACGUGAAAAGUCCAAAAUACCCUUACUGUUUUAAGUAUUUUCCAGCAGUCCGUUUCAUCAGUUAAGUCCAGUUUAUCACGAUUUUUGACCAGGAUCCAUUCUGAUUUAGCUCUGGGCCAAAACAUGAAAGUUGUAGUGUUCUGAAGUAGCUUUAAAAUGCCUCUAAGAACACCUGAUUCGGACUUGUGUACUCUGAGUUAUGACCAUUACAGUGUUCUGCGUUUAAACAGCCGGCGAAUUGAUUUCUGGUUUAGUAAUUUGAGAAUUUGACCAAGUUACAUUAGAAACUGGAUUAAGUGACCUUCAUGAACAUUGUAGCCCUAAGUCUUACCUUCGAAACGGCAUAGGUUGCGUCUUAAUCCGAUAAGCGUAGCCUCGGAUAAGUUAUUUCCGCAUUCGUACGUCAAAUCUGUCUUGUGCUAAGUUGAAUUUCUGCAAUUGUUAUCAUUGUAAUUCUUGUUAUUAUGAUAUUGUGAGCCUAUGGAACGGCUCUUGACAUAAAUUUCUGAUAUGUAUGAUGUUGGGUUGUGUUUGAGAAAAACAAGGAAGCCUAAAUGGCUGGAAAAUUAGGUAAACACAAAGGGCAUGCUGCCCGAAUUUUUACUCGAGGGCUAGAAUAUUAUAUUUUUGACUUGGGUGAAGGUUAAGUACUUAAUACUUGAACUAGCGAGGACUUUGGCUAUUAUGUUUCUUGAGUGUUAAACGUUAGGACUUGACUAAACUUGUACCCUUGGGAAAUGAAAUAAUGAUUGCUCGAAGUACGUUUUCCUUGUACUCUCGACUCACAUGACAAUUUCAAGUAUAAAUGUUACAAAGCUUUAUCGUUUAAAAAGCGAGCAAGUGUUUCAUGACUACUGUCCGAGUGAAUUUCAAUUUCUUGAUUCUUAUUGAACGAAACGUCUAAGUUUCGAACUCUAGACAUGUUUCAAAGUUCUCAAAUUGAGUUUUAUCGCAGAUUUGGACUCCGAACUCGGAGUAUAACCUGAAAGUGACCAGUAAAAGCACUAUAUCUUUUGGUGAGUGCUUUCAAAUACUGAAUUGAACUUGAUACUUGUACUUGAUACGUGCCAAUAUGAUUACAUGUCACAUGCGUGAAUUGUUAGGGCAAGAGUGUACUUUAUCGCACUUGCCCUUACAUUAUAUACACUUGUUUAUUGUUGCAAUUGACUUGACAUACUUGUUAUGAUGCGCGCACUUCCUGGAAUUCCAGACACCCUGUGGCGAGUUACUCUAGUCGGGCCGGCAGGGGCUUGGUCGAUUGGGUAACGAGCCCUGGGUCUCUUGCUUUGUCGAGUGGAGUGAUAUCUCCUCGACUAAACGGUAUACUCGAGUAUUACCACCCGUGUUUAUUGAGGAUUUUGGGCCCAGUAGGGGGUGUGAAUGGUGGACGAAGAGUAGUGUAAGUGGUGUUCUACUGGAUUGGUUCCUUUACUUGAAAGUUGACGGAGUGUCAACUACUAUGUGAUGAAGCUCCUGAUGAUGAAUGGAAGUUUGCUCCUGAGAGCCAUCCGUAUCCUUAUGCUUUGGAAUGAUUAUUGUUUAUUGGAUUAUAGUGUCUUCUGAAAACUUUUACACUCGCUCAUUUUGAGAUUUCUCACUUUUAUGAACUCUUCAUGCUCGUUACUUUGCUAUAUCGAAAACUUGUACUUAUAAAUAAUGGUCAAUUUGCUAUUUGGAACCUCACUGGGCUUUUAGCUCAUACCACGCUAUUUGUUUUCCUUACAGGGGGUACGAGUGACGCAUGAGACUUGUAAAAGACUAGCGUAACCUUUUGUUUUGACUUUUGACUUUUGGUCUUGUACUCGCGCUAUUCCUCGAAUGGAACAUGUUGUACUUGGAUUGUAUACGUUUUGAACUAGUUUGGUGUAUUGAGACUUUGUACCUCGAUUUCUAUCAAUGUAAAUUAUAAGCUUGAAUUGUGAAUGUUAUUUAUGAUUUAUGGAUGUGUGUACAUGACUCGAUUGAGAUAGUGAGUGAGUCCUGGC
rnacentral:lncRNA from 1 species